AGUGGUCACCCGUCGGGUCACCGAGUCCGCAGAGGGCGAGGAGGAGGAACCAGCGCGUUGGGAGGGCGGCCUUGCCACCAGACACUUCUGAUACCGCAGCUAAUGAACAAGAGGAGAUGAACCUCAGUAACAGGGACAUCAUCGGUGCUAUGUAGGAUGACGGAGCUUCAACGGCAUCUCGCCAAACUGUGGGAGCUUCAGCUGCCGCAGGCUCAGUUGGCAGAGCUGCAGGCCUGCCGAUCUGGGAUGUCAUCACUGACCCUGAUGGAGCCCGGCUGGAGAAUCUGUUUGUGAGGAUCUGCUAAUUUUUCCGCCGAGUGAAAGGGGCUAUAAUUUCCUUUUUCAGACACUGAAAGGACUGAUCGACAACACAUCUAAAUGACUGUGUUUGGCAUACACGCAAAGUCAUGUACAAAGCGAGACGUUUAAAACUGUGGCCCUCUUCUCAUGGUGCUGCAACAAUCAGUGCAAGCAUUUUCCUCACUUGAUGUUUACUUUGCCGGUCAGUGUGGUGUUAUGGUGCAGCUUGCACAGUACACAUGUGGGAGGAGAGGUGCAAACAGGCAGGAGGUUAAAACUCAGAUGAAGCAGCUCAAAGUGAGUUGCUCGUAUCUUGGUGGAAAUUGGGUCUUUGAACUGAGAAUAGAGGUCUCAGCCUGUGCAUAUUCUCAUUUGUCCAGGUCAUAGUAUCCUAAAGGAGUUUUAAAUCGAAAAAACAACUGGACUUGAUUAUUUGUCUGGGAAGACGUUUCACCUCUCAUCCAAGAGGCUUCAGCAGUUCAUGUACGCAUCUGACCAGGCUGGGACUGGUCCAACUUUCUGGUGUGGAGACCCAGGUAUUCAACCUCUUGUGGGCGUUCACAAGGCUGAUGAUGUCAGCCAAAGGGAACCAGUGACCAGUGGCCUCUUGGAUGAGAGGUGAAACGUCUUCCCAGACAAAUAAUCAAGUCCAGUUGUUUUUUCGAUUUAAAACUCCUUUAAAAUAGAGGUCUCAGUACCAUGUCUGCUUCUAGUGCAAUGUCAAUCUGCUGCCAGAAACAUCUGGUGAUUUUGUUUGCUGACUGAUUGACUGAUUGACUGAUUGAUUGAUUGAUUGAUUGAUUGAUUGAUUGAUUGAUGGAAUGCAUUACCAAUUAACUUGUUCUGAGAAUAAAAACUCUCCUUUUUAAA